UCUGCUGUCAGGCAGCCAUCUGAGCACUGGUCUUCAUCCACUUGCUGGUACCCAGUGAGUAAAUACUAUGAAACAUCCUCUGACAACGGAAUUAGAUGCAUCAUACAACAGUUACAACAAUUUAAUGUCUACAUCACACUUUGUCUCAUUCCACUCAUUCCGCUACCGAGACAUCUGACUGAGGAGUGCAGAACCCAAGAAGUGAUUGGUCCAGUAAUGCCAAAGAGGGACUGAGAACAGAGCUCAGAUCUCCUGAAACCCAGCCACUUCAUUUGCAAAGAUUCUUCCAAAUUAUCACUCGGGAGUAGUUUUAAUGCAAGUGACACACUGUCAUCAGUCUGCCUUCAAGAUUAGAGGCCUCGUGUGGUGGUGCAGCCCCCCCGGGCCACAUUGCAAUGUCAGGACCAGCCAACAUUGUGUUCUUGCGCAGUGAGUUGGGACAACCUGGAACUUUCUUAUCCUGGCUACAGUACAGUGAGUUAGGACAGUUAGGCACUCCCUAACUGUACCUGAAACUCCUGCUGCCUGGAACCGCACCUGAAACUCCUGCUGCCCGGAUCAUGGCCCACCUUUGAGGGUGCCUGACAAGAACUGUGGCCAGAAUGGAAAUACACUGACUGAAGUCAAUCAUCUCCUGAACCUAUAAACAGCGGUCCUGAGGGAGGCACUUUGAGCUCUCCUGGACUGCAGCAGGCUGUGACCAGCAUCUCCCUCUGAGUGGGACAUCUCUCACAGCUCACAAACUCUCCAGUUUGCGAAAUUUGGAGGACCGUCACUGAAAGCUGAUGAUGGGACCUGGGCUGAAACCGUUCACUCCUUGAGGCUCAACCCUCGCCCGCUGAGAAAUGCCGAGACAUUUGAAGUGAUUAUUUCACUGGACUUGAGAUGAAUUUUUAACAGGUAUACCUUUGUUUAUAUAUGUAUCUCUCUUUGUGUCUGUGUGCAUGCGUGUGUGAAUUGACUUAGAUAUCUGAUAAAAAGUAUAAUAUAAAUAUUACCAUUUUGAAUCUAUAAUUAAGUCACUUGGGGUUGUAGUAAAUUCUAUUGAAUCACUUUGUAAAUGUUAAACUAGUCAAUGAUUAAGUGCUGCUAAAUCCUGUGAUCCACCUUAAACUGUGAAUGAACCUUAGACUGCUGCUACACACAUAUAAUCCCUUAAAACAUAAAACAUUGACCGAGUGUGGGAGUAGGAGUGGAGCCAGCCGCACCUAAGCUCCAUCAGGAGUUCAGAAAGCCAGCGGGUCUUCUCUGAACCUCGCGACUCAACGGGAGGGUCUUCCUUACUCUUUGUAUUCCUUCCAUUAGACAAACCAUUGCCCAAGUCUGAGACUAAGAUUGCACCUAGCUGCAACUAACCUCCAUCAGGAAUUUAGAAAGCAAGGGGAUCUUCUCUGAACCUCGUGGCUCAAUGGGAGGGUCUACCUUACCCUUUUGCAUCUUUGGUCUCUAUAUAAAUCAUUCUAGUUUGAUUCUAACUUGAUUUGCCUUUGUACGUUUCAUCCAUGUAUUAAGUAAUAGAGUGAACCUUGCCAUCAAACUUCGUGAAGUCGUGCUUUUAUAAACUCCUAUUAAAUCACUUUUGCUAAUACCCUUGGCAGUGAUUCUUUAAGCAGCCCAAACCACUCAUUUGCAACACCUGGUUAAACAGCAGUCUUAAACAACAACAAACAUCCAGGCUCAGGUGGUUCCCAGAAUUAGGAAGUGAACGCAGUCAGGCCUGGGACAUUCGCUUGCUGCAACUACAAGCAACCAUCUUUUCCAUGCAAAAUGGGGGCACUGCUGGAAAUGGACCUUUUAAGUGUCUGACUCAAUUGUAGCUUUGCUUCAACAAGUUCAAGAAUUAAAACAGUACCUUUAUCCUUUUCUGCAUGAACCACUUUUAAAAAACAGCAAAACCUCACAGCCUGACAUGAACUUUGUUUUGUACUGUUUUGCCACUACUGUUCUUCUGUCCUCCUUUCUUUCCUUUCAUCUCCUCUCACUUUCUCCCUUACUGCCACUCCAUCUCAUCUCCCAAUUUUCCUGUUUCCCUCUAUCAUUACACUGAAGGGGGGCUGCUUCCUCACACCCCGCAGCUGUCUCCAGUUUAGUCUGUUUGGCCAAGAACAACUGUGGGCUGUUGUGCUUUGCCUCUGAGCUGUUCUCAUGCAAUUAAAGCAACAUGAUUUUUACCACCACUGAAUGGUGUAGUAGGAACCUAUUUUAACUACUGUUGUUAACUAUUUUACCAUGUUGCAUUUACUAUGUUAGCUAUUUUAAUAGUUGCAAAAGUCAGUUUUGUUCAGCCGUUCUAAGAAGCAGCAGCACUGCACAGCAGAGGAGGCUUGAUAUGGCAGGCUAAGACAUACGCUAAAAACCCUUUCCAAACAGUUGACCAUCAGCACACCAAAGGUACUAAAACCACCUUACGGCCUUGCUUCAGGCACAUCUAAUAGCUGGCCGGUACCCAUGGUGGCUAUGAGAAGUAAUAGCAGAUGCUCAGGUGUGAUAGUGAUGUUCUUGCUGACGAGUCUGGGAAAUUACGCCAACGUACUGUAUGUUGCUGUACACAUGGGAAUAGUAACAACAGUGUUUAUUUUGGACAGACAGCGACCAAAGGCAGAAAUGGAAGGAUGUGAUGCGUAGGAAGCAAUACAGUCCCCCAGCAGCAGAUCAGCGGAGGAUGAGCAACUUAGAAAGUUAUGCUGUUCAGAUGCUACCACUUAGAAAGACAAAGAAGUUCUCAACAGAAUCUAUAAUUAUCUGGGCAACAUUCUGUAAUGAAAUAAUUCUUACUAAAGUAAUAGCAAUUCUUCCCUUAGAUUCAUGAGAACGCCUUGCAGAAUUGCCACCCCUUCUGUUUUUUUCACUGGUUGAGCGUGCAAGUUGCUCUACUCAGUGGAUGGUAUCAUAACUCCUGAAGUGUCCAGGCUCCUGGGGACCAGGACAAAAUACAGCUAACCCCAGGAAGCACUCUCUGAAGACAGGAGGAGGGUACAAAACAUAGCUAAUUGCAGAUUCUAGUUUUUCAAGUGCCCUCUGUCUUUUCAGGCCAAGCCAAAUAACUUGCUGUGAGAAAUUCUUUCUCAUUAGUAGUAUCAGAGGACUAAGGAAACGGACAGAUUAUGUUCUGAUUUUCCAUUCCAUCCUACUAUUUAACCACAUGUAAGAUUUGCAUCAGUUUCUCUAUUUGUAGAACAGUACUACAAAAUAAACACAGUUAUAAAGCACUCUAAGAUACUUGCAGGAAUGAACUAUGAAUAUGCUAAUGUUAGUUACAGUAGACAUAUGGAGUGGAUUGCUGAAAGGUUGGGGAUUCUGAAUCACAGCAGUCUUACCAUCACUAAUUCUGAUGUCUGUUUAAAAUGAAACCGAAGCAUGGCAGGAAAAAUUAUUUCUGAUCAUUUCAUUGCAAUAUUUGAGGAUAUUUCCUUGCCAUUUUCUACUGCUUUUAAUUGUAAAACUACACAUGAUGUUCUCGAUAUUGUCUGCAAAAAAUGGAGCAUGGAUUUUUAAUUCCCUUUCUGUUGACUUCAAUGAUUUCUUUCUUGUAUAAAACAUGCUAAAAGAAAACAGUAGCUGUAUGUACAAUUCUGAAACUAUUAGUUGAUGUCAAACACCUCACCUAAGCCAUUUCCCAUGCAAAAAGAUGAAAAUCCCAAAACAUCUGAAAGAGGUUAGUGGGGGGAAAAAAAAAAAAAAAAAAGGAGGUUACCUGAUUUAGAAGAGAGGCUACAACGGUAACUAAGAACAGCAACUUAAACUGCGUAUGAGGGAAUGGUUCCUGGCAGCCAGAUAUAUUAAUGCACAUCUAGAUGCAAUUGUGCAAAGCCCUCCACGGUGGCAGCUCUAAAACCAUAAAUGGUAUAGCUGCAACAGUAAAAAUUUGCACCAGAGCUAAGAAUGGCAUCACCAAAACCCUCAGUUAUACAAGCAGUCCUGAAUCAGGGGACUAAUCUUUUUGACUGAUCUAUUUUGAUAAGGACUGCCAGGUGGGCAAAAUACCCCCCUUUUUAUAUAGCAUUUCACCACUACUAGAAUAAAAUUAGCAUCUCACCAAUAUCUUUUGUGGUUACUGGCAGGUUCACCAAGAUUAAAAGUAGUGCUUAUUCAUAUAUUUCCAAUAUGCUAGAGGAAAUGUAAAUGGCUGCAGCUCUGCUUAACCAAGAGAUGCAAUAUGUGCAAUGGAAAUCUCAUAGUAGUAUGCCAAAUAGUGUUUGUUAGUGCUUUCCCUGUUAAUACCAUAAUCCCUAACAAAGAGAAAGUCUACUCCUUUUUAAAAGAAAGUUCUCACUCAUUACCAGGAUCUCGCUUAUAUGUGGGCCUUUUUGGGGGUUGUUUUUAACAUCAUUAGUUACAAAAUUAAAUACAUAGUAAUGGGAAGGAGACACAACGUUGUAAUUAUGAAAGGAGCGGAAUCUUGGCAAGAAAAGUGUCCCUUGCCUUUUUUCCCCUCUGGCAUUUAUUUGCUGCUAUGUCAUUUAUACAGAACUUCAUCUGACGUUCAAAGGUAGUUUUUGAUCUGGUGAAUACUGAACUGUGCUAACUGAAGUGACUUUUGUUGUUGUUGUUGUUUGUCUCAACUAUAAUUAAAAUUUCUAAUUGGAAUUUA